rnacentral:rRNA from 1 species
UAUGUGAUCGUCUCUCGCAUAUCAAUAAGCGGAGGAAAAGAAACUAACAAGGAUUCCCCUAGUAACGGCGAGUGAAGCGGGAAGAGCUCAAAUUUGAAAUCUUAAAGGGUUUCCCUUUACGAAUUGUAGUUUAAAGAAGUGUUUUCUGUUGAGGUUUUGGUAAAAGUUCUUUGGAAUAGGACAUCAUAGAGGGUGAGAAUCCCGUAUUUGACCUUUACUUUCAACUUUGUGAUACACUUUCAAAGAGUCGGAUUGUUUGGGAAUGCAGUCCAAAAUGGGUGGUAAAUUUCAUCUAAAGCUAAAUAUUGGCGAGAGACCGAUAGCGAACAAGUACCGUGAGGGAAAGAUGAAAAGAACUUUGAAAAGAGAGUUAAACAGUACGUGAAAUUGUCAAAAGGGAAGCGUUUGACACCAGUGUUGUUUUUCUGAAAAUCAAUUAAAGAACUGUUUAUGCUAAGUUGUUUAGACUUUAUCAGCUAACUGUUUAGUUUUGAGCUUUUCUUUAAUGCACUUUUCAGUUAACAAGUCAACAUCAAUUUCUUUUGCUGUAAAAAAGCUUGAGGAAGGUGGCUUGAGAUUCGUCUUAAGUGUUUAUAGCCUCUUGCCUAUGCAGUCGGAGAGAUUGAGGUCUGCAGCGUAGAUCCUUCGGGGCUAAAUGCAUUUGUGCUAAGUUAUAACAUUUUAUAGACAACUUGUUGACUAUGAUUUGUCUUGUAGCUUACUCGCUUAUGUUAUUUUACCUACGCUUAGGAUGUUGACACACGCGCGUGCUCG